rnacentral:rRNA from 1 species
UACGUAGGGUGCGAGCGUUAAUCGGAAUUACUGGGCGUAAAGCGUGCGCAGGCGGUUUUGUAAGCCGGAUGUGAAAUCCCCGGGCUUAACCUGGGAAUGGCAUUCGGGACUGCAAGGCUGGAGUGCGGCAGAGGAGACUGGAAUUCCUGGUGUAGCAGUGAAAUGCGUAGAUAUCAGGAGGAACACCGAUGGCGAAGGCAGGUCUCUGGGCUGACACUGACGCUGAGGCGCGAAAGCCAGGGGAGCGAACGGG